CUUUUUACAUUAGAUGAAAACAUUCUCUCAAUGGUUUAUUCUGAUAUAUUGAUAGUUUGAAUCGAUUGCGUAGGGAAACUGAGAAGUAUAUGCAUUUCGAAUUAAAUCACGUGGCGUGAUUGGACAGGCGCGUAGGAGAACCACAGGGCUGGUUGCAUGGUAUAUGCGCUUGCGAGAAAACCUUUGGGACGUCAAUAUCACAGUUCCGGAAAUCGGCAAAAUGUCAGCUCCUAAUGGGAAAUCAUGAAAAUUGAGUGGAACUUUUUAUGGAUAUUUAAUAAUUAAAUGUACACAAAUUUAAGAUUAAUGAUAGAUAAAAUAAUGUCAUUAAAUAUUAAUGUUGUUUUUCAUUAAUGAUAUUUUAUAUUGCUUAUUAUUGAGAAUAUAUAUC